GCAAACGUUGCUCGGAAUCACUGGGCGUAAAGGGCGUGUAGGCGGGAAGGAAAGUCAGAUGCGAAAUCCCCAGGCUCAACCUGGGAACUGCAUUUGAAACUCCCUUUCUUGAGUACCGGAGAGGAAAGUGGAAUUCCUGGUGUAGAGGUGAAAUUCGUAGAUAUCAGGAGGAACACCAGUGGCGAAGGCGGCUUUCUGGACGGUAACUGACGCUGAGACGCGAAAGCGUGGGGAGCAAACAGG
rnacentral:rRNA from 1 species